CAAUCAUGCACCCUCGGAUGAUCAAACUUUUGUCUUAGGACCACGUGAGUAAACAAGGUAUUUAGAUAAACUCCUCCACAUUCCCUAGAUAUUUGCUCUAUUGCUACCAACUCAAAGUAAAGAAGAUUAGGCUGUUUUCAGCCAAAUCAUUUACUGAAGCUAUGCAACCCCCCGGCCUUCCAAGAAGGUUUGUGUCUAUUUCCUAUAACUAUCUUUAUAAUUUUUUUAACCACUUUGUCCGAUCCCCUACAGGUAGGGUUGCUUUUUUC
rnacentral:lncRNA from 10 species